rnacentral:lncRNA from 1 species
CUUUGGAUGCAAGUGAUAUAAAUCCAACUUAAACUAAAAAAUAGAGAGGAGGAGGAAUUUAUUGGUUUCCAUAACUAAAGAGUCCAGAGGACAGCUAUUUUCAAGCACAGCUAGAUCCAGGCAUUUGAACAAUGUUAUCAGGGAGCCAUCUCUUGACUUUACUUUUCUUUGUUUGUUGGCCUCAUUCCUUCCUACUGCAAAUGGCUUUCUUCAGGUGGCAAUGGAAGAUGAAAUACAAGCAGCUCCAGCUCACAUGAUCGCUUUCAUUCCAAGGCCUGGUCCCCAGCUUUGUAGACCUGGAUACUUGAUCUGACCAGGGUCAGGAGUUGGUGGGACUCAGGAAAGCCAACUUAUGCCAAUGACAGGACCCUCACAGAGUCAUUAGGAUGUUCAUUAGGAUGUUGGUAUAUUAAUUUACAGUGAAGCAUUUCAAAACAGGACUCAUGGUCUGGAGGCACAAGCCUUGCAGUAAGCUAUAAGUCGCACCCACUUCUCUGGCUGAGCAGUGGUUCCUGAAGCUUCCCUGUGGGGAAGCUUUUAUGUACCCCAAUAGACCCCUUGCCCUAGGGAACUUCCAGUGGGAUGGCUCUUCUCCUUCCAUUCUCUUAAGGCAGAGUGAGUUUGCAGUGUCAGAGCUCUGGAAGACCGGUGACACUCUUUUUUAACUUAUUUACUCCACCCUCAUAGAAAACCCACUGUGUGCUGGCUUGAGCUAGCAUCAGGACACAAAACUGAUUAAGGCAAAUUAUCUGCCCUCCAGUUGCUCACAGUAUAGCAGGGGUGACUGACAAGAAAAUAAACUGCAAUACAGAUCUGUUGAAGGUCUAAAGUUAAGUACAAGAUGCAGUGGGGAACAUCUAAAAUAAUGGAGUCCUGGACUGUUCUAGCAUUCAUCACACUAGGUUUUAGAGCACUCUACGUUCAUCUGUCUGUCCCUUAUGAGAAUAUGAACCUUUAAAGGGAAAGGAUCAUGUUCUAUUUCUCUCUAUAUCCCUAGCACUUAAUGCACACUAUGGAAAUAAUAAAUGUUUGAACCAAAUAAAGGGGUAAAAUUAAAAGACUGAGAAUUUUUUUUUUCAAUAUCUGUUAAGCACUCACCAAGUUCAAGGCUCUGUGAUUGGUGUGAGGGAAACACAAAGAUGACCUAUUCUCACUGGGAGAGGGCUCAUGGCACUGGAGUUUUUGGAAGUCAGCUGAGACCUCUUACGAACUGGAGUGUUGUGUCUAAAGACCAAAAGUUUCACCCUACUGUCUCCUAGAAGAAUUGAGCCUGAGCAUAAACUAAUUACUCUUCUCUGCCCUGCAACUGAAUAGACAAAUACCUCUUUAGUUAGUCAUUAGGAUCUAAUCAGAGUAAUUUCCAUACAAGAAUGUGUGUAGAUUGAGUUUGUUCUCCAAUUGUAACAUUUGUGAAAUUCAACCACAAUUCUACUUAUUAAUAGUCAUUAGGGGUCUAUAAAUAACGCACAAUCCUUUAGGUUAAAAAAAAAAAGCUGUGAGCUUAGCUGGUUUGAAAUGUAAACAGGCUAUUCAUGAAUUUGCACACUGUAAUUCCCUGUUUGGCCUCUGGCCAACAUUCAUUCCCUGGAAGUGGCCACUGAUAGAAACGUUGUAUGUCAUCUGAUGAUGAGUCCUGGCAGGUCAAGAUCUAGAUUUGUAGAUUUACAAUCCAGUAGUCUGCAACUCUCUUUCACCCAUUAACUUAAGAAAUAUUGAUUGAUCCCUUCAGCAUUUGGGUGCCGUGGGUGGUACAUGUAUGGAUGCAGCACAAGUCCAGCCAGGAAAGAAUUUAAAUUCUGCUGUUAGAUGUGGACCUGGAUAUUAGCAACGUCCAGCAGGGAUGCAGGUGGGGAAGGAACGGGAAGGGGGAGUCAGUCUAAGCAAAAGAAGCUGAGAUCAACAGCUUAGAGCACAAAAUUGAACAUUAUAAAAUAUUCCAACUUUUUAAAUUGGGAGACUUGACAUAAACUUCCACAUUUCUAACUUCUCUUGUAAAGUAAGGAGAUCUGACAGCACUGAGGCCACCUUCCAUUCCUUCUAGCAGCAAUCAGUUGUGCCAAGUGUUUCAAAAUUCCCCACAGAUAUUAAUCUUCAGGAUUCUGGAACAAGAACCUUUGCUGCUUGCCUGGUGCAUGUUCCUUAACUUUUCAAUCUCUUCAUCUGUAAAAUAGGAAUGAUAAUAA